rnacentral:misc_RNA from 1 species
GAUGAAGAACGCAGCGAAAUGCGAUACGUAAUGUGAAUUGCAGAAUUCAGUGAAUCAUCGAGUCUUUGAACGCACAUUGCGCCCUCUGGUAUUCCGGAGGGCAUGCCUGUCCGAGCGUCAUUGCUGCCCUCAAGCACGGCUUGUGUGUUGGGCUCCGUCCCCCGAUCCCGGGGGACGGGCCCGAAAGGCAGCGGCGGCACCGCGUCCGGUCCUCGAGCGUAUGGGGCUUUGUCACCCGCUCUGUAGGCCCGGCCGGCGCUUGCCGAUCACCAAAUUUUUAUCCAGGUUGACCUCGGAUCAGGUAGGGAUACCCGCUGAACUUAAGCAUAUCAAUAAGCGGAGGA